rnacentral:tRNA from 2 species
GCCUUGUUAGCUCAGUCGGUAGAGCGCAAGACUUUUAAUUUUGUGGUCGGGGGUUCGAGCCCCCCAUAGGGCU